AAAACGUUCGGAGAGAAGGAGUUAGGUGUGAUCGUCUUGGUAGCAGAGAAGAACAAAGCAAGGGAUUUAUAUAAUAACAUCCAACAAUGUCUGGAAGAGGAAAACCAACUCCUGGUACUAGAGGAAAUGUUGUUGUCAGAAAAAGAUGUCCUAAGUGUGGGCAAUUUCUUCCUGCAUUUUACUGGUAUUGUCCGAAUCCAAACUGCCAUUGGGGACAAUAAACUUACUUUCAUCCAAUCUGAUGCAGGCAUGCAGCAGUAGAUCAUGUAGACAGAUGUGUGGAAGAACAUCAGUAUAUGUACAUGAACUCAAUGAUGAACAAUUUCAAGGGCGGAUCUGUCACAGCUUGUAGCAUACAGACAACUCUCGACCUCCACGAAACACUCUUCCUCAACAAAAAAACAAAUCGUUGCUGUUAAAAGGCAUCUUCCAGGAUUCCACCAGAAGCGGAUAAUUCUCAUUUGUAUCAUAGCAUCAUUACUUUGAUUUCAAAGUUGAUAACUUUUAAGAUGGCAAAUGAAAAUAUUUGCUUGCUUACAAGCAUUCAUGCUUUCUUAGUAGUCUGGUAAAAGAAAAUCAUUACCAAGUUAUUAUAGCGUUUAUGCAUAAUACCAAUGAAUAUGGAAUUUUCCAGCAUUUACUCUCAUCAUAAACCAUGCUGGCAAUGUAAAUCGGCAAUUCCUUAAGAUAUGUACAUUCGACCUCGUAUAUGUAGGACCUUUCUGAAAAAAAAAAUCUACCAUACAUGAAAAAAUGUAAUGGUAUCAUAUCAUCAUGGCUUGAGCAGGUUGUAAAGUAAAUCGGACAUAUUACAGGAGGCAGGUUAUUUUGUUGGCAAUUUGCCUCACACAAUAAAUUUUUGCUUAAACUCUA